UUAGAGGAAGUAAAAGUCGUAACAAGGUUUCCGUAGGUGAACCUGCGGAAGGAUCAUUAAAAAAAGAGAAACGUCCCGUUUUUUUCAUAAGAAUGGGUUCUAUUCCCUUAAACCGUGUCUACAUACCUUUGUUGCUUUGGCAGGCCGCCUUCGGGCGUCGGCUCCGGCUGAUAGUGCCUGCCAGAGGACCCAAACUCUAUGUUUAGUGAUGUCUGAGUACUAUAUAAUAUUUAAAACUUUCAACAACGGAUCUCUUGGUUCUGGCAUCGAUGAAGAACGCAGCGAAAUGCGAUAAGUAAUGUGAAUUGCAGAAUUCAGUGAAUCAUCGAAUCUUUGAACGCACAUUGCGCCCCUUGGUAUUCCGAGGGGCAUGCCUGUUCGAGCGUCAUUAUAACCACUCAAGCCUGGCUUGGUAUUGGGGCUUUCGCGUGUUCGCGGCCCUUAAAAUCAGUGGCGGUGCCGUCUGGCUCUAAGCGUAGUAAUUUCUCUCGCUAUAGGGUUCCGGUGGUUACUUGCCAAAACCCCCCAUUUUUUCUAGGUUGACCUCGGAUCAGGUAGGGAUACCCGCUGAACUUAAGCAUAUCAAUAA
rnacentral:rRNA from 1 species